UACAGAGGGUGCGAGCGUUAAUCGGAAUUACUGGGCGUAAAGCGUGCGUAGACGGUUACAUAAGUCGGGUGUGAAAGCCCCGGGCUCAACCUGGGAAUUGCAUUCGAGACUGCGUAGCUAGGGUGCGGAAGAGGGAAGCGGAAUUUCCGGUGUAGCGGUGUAAUGCGUAGAUAUCUGGAGGAACACCGGUGGCGAAGGCGGCAUCCUGGACCGGUAUUGACACUGAGGCGCGAAAGCCAGGGGAGCAAACGGG
rnacentral:rRNA from 1 species